GGGCAGGUGGCAGAGUGGACUAUUGCAACGGGCUGUAAACCCGUCGGCCGUCGGCCUCCGGUGGUUCGAAUCCAUCCCUGCCCA
rnacentral:tRNA from 1 species